AGAAAAGGCUAAUCGAAAAUACACUAAUGGUAUAGCAAUGAAAACAGAAACGACUGAAACGGAGUAAAACCUUAUACGUUCGUAUAGUGUUAAAAUACCGAAUGUAACGAAUUGACUCAAAUAUGUAAACGCCAUGCGAUGGAGCAGAGGGUAUGUUACUGCUGAGAAAUGGGAAGUUGAAGAUUGGAAUGUUGAAAUUAUCAUGUUUUUCAUUGAUUCUAGUUUUAAGUCGUUCAUCCUUGUCGAUGUCGAGGAAAAAAUCAAGAUAUGAAGCAGAUCUUCUACGUUCGGUAGUAUCCUAAAUCUCAAGUUCUCUGCGAUGUGUGAGAUAUUAACACUCAAUGGUGUGUGGUUUAUUGAGUGACAGAACAUCAUCAAUAUAUCUGAAAGUGAAUUUGAAAAAACUUUGAAAAAUACUUUGUGAUUAGCAUAGACCUCACAAAAAAGAACCUUAUAAUAAGAUUGGAAUGCGGUAAAACUUCUUUAGUGAAUAUUGACGCAAUAUUUGUUCUGUCUAGAAUAACUCGAAAUAUGUUUAAGAAAUGAUAACGUGGCAAAUUCGAGUUUCAGCCAUCUAAAACUUUCAAAUAUCAAAGCUUAUUCCUAUAUUGCAAAACCUACUAACGUCAAAAUGUUGCAAUAAAAGUUUAUACUAAUUGA